CCCUCAAUUGUAAUAGUUUUAAUCCUGACCGUAUAUAUAAUUUUAGUGAAUACCAAUUACCGGUAGAGCAAGUUUCCAUAUAAAAGCAAAAGCAAAACCUAAAAAAACCAAAACAGAUCUGUUUCUCUCUUGCGUUCACUCAAUUCUGUGGGCGAACCAAGCUUUGUGUCCAUCGAUCUCCUUCCCGCGUUCCUUGGAUUUGCUAACUGGUAAAGGCAAGGAUCAAAACUAAACGCUAAUUUCCAAAUGAUCAGUUUGGCUACAUAUCACUCCUCUCUCUAUUUGAUUUUGAGAUCGUCGAAUAUGGGUAUUGGGUUGAGCUUUGCGAUGAUGAUGAGUUUCUUGUUCUAGCCACUUGUGAUGGGAUUUGGGAGAUGUAGAUAGUGCACUGGAGCAGAAGUCCGACAAUAAUAGAUUAAAGGGAAGAGAGAAUCAAGUUAUCUCUGUGUUUAAGGAAUUCUGUUAAGAGAAAAGAGAGUGUCGUCUAAGGUUGUUGAGUACUGCCAAUCAGUUAUUCAAAACAUUGAUAGCUUUAGCUCUUUCAUGUCUUGUUAUUUAAUUUUGGUUGUUCAACAAUUGUUAGUAUCAAGUUAUGAUAUUUUGCACUCAAUGUUGAACUCAGAUAUUUAAAAUAUUAGCAAAAAUUGAGGUAAAUACCAAGUCUUGAAUUUUAUUUCCUUACUGUUGUUAAACGAUAGAACUCAUUAAAAAUUUAAAUUAAAUUUAAAAUUUGCUUGAAAUAAAAAUCUAAUGUAUGUCAAUUAGAUGGUAACUUAGAACAUUGAUCUUCUAUGGAUUUCCUUGGUUGAUGAGAAUUCCAAGGUUCCUUUGGCUUUCCUCAGUGAGGUAAUAGCUUCAAAAACUUGUAGUGAACCUAUAAUGAACACAUUACAGCCUAUGCUGACAUAUAUCUUUAUUGGUGUUUCAAGGGAUGAAAUGUUGCUAAGGGAAUUUCAGUUUUUUUUUUUUUUUUUUUUUUUUUUUUUUUUUUUUUUUUUUUUUUUUUUUUUUUUUUUUUUUUUUUUUUUCAU